rnacentral:rRNA from 1 species
UCCCGAACCCGGAAGUUAAGCCCUUCAGCGCCGAUGGUACUGCAUGGGAGACUGUGUGGGAGAGUAGGACACCGCCGGAC